AAGAAAACGAAUUGAUUACUCAGAAGGGAUGGACAGAGAAGGUCAGAGAAUCUGGAAAAUCUUGCACUUGCUCUAUUUGUGAUAACAAGUGACACAAAGGUGGAUUCUGAAGAGACCACCCACUGAUGUUCCUGGACCAUUGUCAAUCAAAUCCUGAGAUCAGCAGUGGGGAAAGACUGCACAGAAAAAGAGAGAGAGAGAGCAGAGAAACAAAGGACUGCAGAUGCUGGAAUCUAGAUGAAAAACACGAUGAUGCUGGAGGAACU